rnacentral:rRNA from 1 species
GAUGAACGCUGGCGGCGUGCCUAAUACAUGCAAGUCGAGCGAACGGACGAGACGCUUGCUUCUCUGAUGUUAGCGGCGGACGGGUGAGUAACACGUGGAUAACCUACCUAUCAGACUGGGAUAACUUCGGGAAACCGUAGCUAAUACCGGAUAAUAUUUUGAACCGCAUGGUUCAAAAGUGAAAGACGGUCUUGCUGUCACUUAUAGAUGGAUCCGCGCUGCAUUAGCUAGUUGGUAAGGUAACGGCUUACCAUGGCAACGAUGCAUAGCCGACCUGAGAGGGUGAUCGGCCACACUGGAACUGAGACACGGUCCAGACUCCUACGGGAGGCAGCAGUAGGGAAUCUUCCGCAAUGGGCGAAAGCCUGACGGAGCAACGCCGCGUGAGUGAUGAAGGUCUUCGGAUCGUAAAACUCUGUUAUUAGGGAAGAACAUAUGUGUAAGUAACUGUGCACAUCGUGACGGUACCUAAUCAGAAAGCCACGGCUAACUACGUG